GGGCACAUGGUGUAGUUGGUUAUCACGCUCGCUUAGCAUCUUAAUUUGCGAGAGGUGUUGGGUUCAAUUCCCAAUGUGUCCA